UUACAUUUAAAUUAUACCUCAAUAAACCCUUUUGGAAAAAAAAUCAUGUGUCAUCUCCAUUAUACUGAACUCUCUGCAGAUCCCCCCAAAUCUCUCUUAGGCUUGUCAGCCUUUGUCUACUCUAUUUUCUCUGCCAAGACAUUUUCAUUUAAUCGUUAAGACUUGGAUUAGAUGCUACGUCCUCUGGGAAACCUUCCAUUUUUCUGCAUGACUCUUCUUGGUGUUUCUUUGCUAUCCCAGCCCCGUUUGUGUGGUGUUGAGGUGCGUGUCUGUGUUUGUAUUCUCUGCUAGACUGUAGGAUCAGUAAAAGUAGGGAUUUCAUCCUGUUUAUCAUCAUUGUAUUCCUAUCAUCUACCUUAGUCUUGCUAAGUAUCUGGUAAUCUAUAACUUGCAAGGAUAAAGUGGCUACUCUCCAGCAUAUUCACCAGGACUUUCUGUUUUCGGAAACCUCCCUGGAAGCUCCAAAAAAUUAAGAAAUAUCACAGAAAUUACUUGCAAAAUCCUUGCACUAGAGCAGACAUGCUUGACUAUGGAGCCACUGAGCUUAUAAACCUGAGAGGUGGAUACCUAGAGGAAGAUAUUUUGAGAAGAUGGAAGUGAGUUCCCUGAAAAUCCAUGGUCCAUAACACCUUAUCCAUUUUUAUAGCCACAAUCGACAAGAAUGCUCAUCCUAUUUGCUUUCCUUGCUUGACAAUAUAAUUUCAGAGACUGGUGAAAGAUGUUUUCAGCACUAGAAUCAAUACUUCGGAUUACAGCUGCUUUUGUGCUCGUCUCUCCCCAGUGAAAACAUUGCUGGGGAAAUGGGAAGAUAUAUGGAAGCUCCAUAUCUCCUGAUAUUUUAGCUCUCAAGAAUCUGUCUGUUCUAAUCAAUUGCUGCAUUUAUUUUGAAGAAUUUUGAAGGCAGGGGUACAGGGUAAGAGGAGAGAAAUGAUAACUUUGAGGCACUUGUUCUAAAGCUGUUGUAUCUGAACAAAUAAGGAGCCAUACGCCCACCUCUGAUUCAGAAUUGCAUUUCUUUUCCUACAGAUCCCAAGCCAAGGGCAUCUUGUAAAAGCUCUUAGUGUAGUUGGGAAAUGCCUCCAUAUUUCUCUUAAUCUAUACUUUCAAGGAAUUCUCAUUCAAGAUGGAGGAUAGACCACCUGCAUUGGGAGAACGGGCCAUCACCUCCCUUGAUAGCCAAAUCCCACAGAAAUGUCCAUCUCAGGCCACACCCUCAGGUGAGCCAGAAAUGUCACUUUUUCUGCUUGUCCUUAACAGAAUUGAUUUCUCUUUGCAUUUGUCUGAGUGGUGGAGACUUUCUCUCUUUCAGUUCAGGGUUUCUCCUCCUGUAACAUCCCAGUUGCAUUAAGUUCUGGGAAACUUCAGAGAGCCAAAGUGUUCAGGGAUUGGGGGUGAGGGGUGCCCAUCUUUUUCUCAGUUUCAGUUUUCCAUGAUAGACCUCAUU
rnacentral:lncRNA from 10 species